rnacentral:tRNA from 1 species
GGGGCCGUAGCUCAAUUGGUAGAGCGUCACACUGGCAGUGUGAAGGUCGUCAGUUCGAUUCUGAUCGGCUCCACCA